UACGUAGGGUGCAAGCGUUGUCCGGAAUUAUUGGGCGUAAAGAGCUCGUAGGCGGUUUGUCGCGUCGAAUGUGAAAACCCGGGGCUCAACCCCGGGCCUGCAUUCGAUACGGGCAGACUAGAGUUCGGUAGGGGAGUCUGGAAUUCCUGGUGUAGCGGUGAAAUGCGUAGAUAUUGGGAGGAACACCAGUGGCGAAGGCGGCUACCUGGACCGGUUCUGACGCUGAGGCGCGAAAGCGUGGGUAGCAAACAGG
rnacentral:rRNA from 1 species